GACGAACGCUGGCGGCGUGCCUAAUACAUGCAAGUCGAACGCAGUGGGGAAGGGUGAGUAACACGUGGGUAACCUCCCCAUCAGAGGGGAUAACACUUGGAAACAGGUGCUAAACCGAUAUUGCUGGAUGGACCCGCGGUGCAUUAGCUAGUUGGUGAGGUAACGGCUCCCCGGGGCGACGAUCCAUAGCGGGUCUGAGAGGAUGACCAGCCACACGGGAACGUAGACACGGUCCAGACUCCUACGGGAGGCAGCAGUGGGGAAUAUUGCACAAUGGGCGCAAGCCUGAUGCAGCCAUGCCGCGUGUGUGAAGAAGGCCUUCGGGUUGUAAAGCACUUUCAGCGGGGAGGCGUUACCCGCAGAAGAAGCACCGGCUAACUCCGUGCCAGCAGCCGCGGUAAUAC
rnacentral:rRNA from 1 species